GCCGCCGUGGCGGAACUGGCAGACGCGCAUGGUUCAGGUCCAUGUGCCCGCAAGGGCGUGGAGGUUCGACUCCUCUCGGCGGUAC
rnacentral:tRNA from 1 species